GACGAACGCUGGCGGUGUGCUUAACACAUGCAAGUCGAACGGAAAGGCCUCUUUCGGGGGGUACUCGAGUGGCGAACGGGUGAGUAACACGUGAGUAACCUGCCCUUGACUUUGGGAUAACUUCAGGAAACUGGGGCUAAUACCGGAUAGGAGCUCCUGCUGCAUGGUGGGGGUUGGAAAGUUUCGGCGGUUGGGGAUGGACUCGCGGCUUAUCAGCUUGUUGGUGGGGUAGUGGCUUACCAAGGCUUUGACGGGUAGCCGGCCUGAGAGGGUGACCGGCCACAUUGGGACUGAGAUACGGCCCAGACGCCUACGGGAGGCAGCAGUGGGGAAUAUUGCACAAUGGGUGGAAGCCUGAUGCAGCAACGCCGUGUGCGGGAUGACGGCCUUCGGGUUGUAAACCGCUUUCGCUCAUGACGAAGCUUUGUGUGACGGUAGUGGGUAAAGAAGCACCGGCUAACUACG
rnacentral:rRNA from 1 species